rnacentral:rRNA from 1 species
GUCCUAUUGAUUUAUAAUUUUAGGUCUGGCCUGCCCACUGAAUUUUAAAAGGCCGCGGUAUUUUGACCGUGCUAAGGUAGCAUAAUCAUUAGUUUUUUAAUUGGAAGCUAGAAUGAAUGGUUGGAUAAGAAAAUAACUGUCUCUAUAUUAAAUUAAUUGAAUUUUAUUUUUAAGUUAAAAAGCUUAAAUUUUAUUGAAAGACGAGAAGACCCUAUAGAGUUUUAUAAGUUUAAAUUUUAAAAAUUUUGGAAUUUUAAUUAUAAAAUUUAAAUUUAUUUGGUUGGGGUGAUUUUAAAAUUUGAUAAACUUUUAAUUAAUUAAGUCAUUAAUUUAUGAAUUUUUGAUCCAUUUAUUUUGAUUAUAAGAUUAAAUUACCUUAGGGAUAACAGCGUAAUUUUUUUAGAGAGUUCAAAUCGAAAAAAGAGAUUGCGACCUCGAUGUUGGAUUAAAGUAAAUUUUUGGUGUAGAAGCUAAAUAUUUAGGUCUGUUCGACCUUUAAAACUUUACAUGA